rnacentral:misc_RNA from 1 species
AACAUAUAUCAGGUUCUACUGUUUCUUCUAUCAUUUCUUUUUCAAGACAAUGGUGUUUCAAUGUGCCAUUCCAAUCUCUUUCUCCCAUUUUGACUUGACUUUCUUUUGAUCCUCUUAUCCUGAAAUUUUUGGGCACUAUGUUCGUCAGCAAAGCCCUUUAGAAAAAAUAUCUUAGGGCUAACCUUGCCAUAAAAUGAUGGGUUGAGAAUUACUGGACAAGAAUUAACAGGACGCUUUCCAGAGCUACAUGUUAAAAUUUUCAAGAUCCAUAACCUAAAUUAUUUUGUGCCUUAAAAAUAUCUCUUUUUAGGUGGUAGUGCGUGUUUUCUUCUUCCUUACCUACCCAAAUUUCGCUUUCAAUUGGAAAAAGGCUGAUAUCAACUAAAGAGGACCAAGAGGGAUGCUGACCCAUGUAGCAGAAUUAUUCUUCUUGAUACUUAAAUGCACUCUUUUUGUGAUGAAGUUGAAAAAACAAAUUUGAAGAUAUUCGUUUAGAUCAUGCAUCUCUUCAGUAUACUUGUAGUCUUGAAUGUAUGCUAGAAUUUUGAUAUUUAAUGCUAAUCUGUUGACAUUUGUUACUACAGGUUGCUAGUGUAACAUUUGAUUUGCUGUUGCUUCUGGUGCUGGGAUCAUAUUUGAUAGU